rnacentral:tRNA from 1 species
GGGCGGUUAGCUCAGCGGUAGAGCACUCGCCUUACAAGCGAGGGGUCACUGGUUCGAACCCGGUACCGCCCA